rnacentral:piRNA from 1 species
UGGGAUUACAGUUGUCUGCCUAGCUGAU